rnacentral:lncRNA from 1 species
AAGNACUCAGAAAGAAUUCUUCAAACAUGCUUAUUAGAACUAGAAAAGACGAAUAUUGAGAAUAAUUCGUUGAAGUUAGAGAACAAAAAUCUAAAUAAGAGAGUUGUAGAAUUGAAGAAGGUUGGUAUAUUGUACUAGUAAAUUUGUCAACUAAAUGAGGGAAGCACUAAUGACAGGACGAUUGCCUGGAUAGUGACAAGCCGGUUGACCGGAUGAGAUAUAAAUAGUCAUAACUUUUUUGUUUUUCGGUAGAUUUGUUUAAUGUUUGUAGACCUGAAUGAUAUUAAAAUAUAUUUUAUGAAAAUCAAACAAAAGAAGUGAAACAAAAUAAUUUUGAGCAAAUAAAGUUAAGCGGACGGUAUUCACACUUGCUGAUAUACGCUAUACAUAAAUUCAACAAGUGAUAAUAUGUCUUUUGUUUUCCAACUAAAUGACACAAUUUCUCAUUGAUGAAUGAUUAUCAUAAUUGAUCGAUGGUCCUUUAAUGUUAAGUGGCAAAAGUGGCAAAAUAAUUGCAUAUACUGAUAGUUGUGAAUUUUUUUGGAGAAAAAGAAACAUCUUGAACAUCAACUAAUGAAUAUAUUGAAAUUAGGAUCCAUAAUUCUAAAUACAUAGGUUCAUACUGCAGUAAAUCAAAAAAAUACACCGGUUCAUAUUGCAGAGAAAAAACUUGUAAGCGUAGUUAUCUAAUUUGUUUAUCCACUGUGUAGUAGUGAGUUCAAACCAACCAUGUGUCAGGUGUGCUUGACUCCAAUAUUUAUUGACUUAAAUUGGAUAGUCAGUUUUCUUGUCUGAGGUCUGUGUUAAAAUUCUUGAAGGACACUCUGGAAUCUUCUACUUAUAUUGAUAAAUGACUUAACGCCAAGUUAUAGCCAAUAUUACUGAAAUGUUAAACACCAAAAAUCAAUUAACAUGAUUAAUCAACCAAAACAGAAUAUGCAAAACUGUCCAAGAACAAAUUAAAUUUUGUUAAAAACAUUUUCUUCAUUCAAUAUGCGGUUUUUUUUUAUUUUAGAAACCUGAGCUUCCAACGUGUAGUAUAUGUAUGGAAAGAGAACGUAAUACUUAUAUUGACCCAUGCGGUCACACAUUUUGUAUGGUGUGUGCCACAGAAGUAAUGUGUCGCAAUAGACAAUGUCCAGUGUGUCGAAUAUACAUGUCUAAAACCGGACAACUUUAUCUCAAUUGAAAAAGGAGAAGGUAUGUUGAGGGGUAAAAAGUACGCGCGUUAUUCAGUGUGCACCACAUUUUUUAUGUUAUUUCAAAUAGACUGACAAAAAUAACAGUUAUUUCUAAUAAUUUAAUUUUAAAUUCCAUCAUGAAAAAACUUUGAUGAUGUCAUGGUCACAUGACUAAAAUUGUGUCUAUGAUAUGAUAAACAAAACGUCGUCAGCCAAUCAGAAGAUGUGUUUCAUCCAAAAUUAAAUUAUUGAAAUAUAUUUCAGUAGUAAAAUUUAUAAACAUGUUUGUAGUUUCAAAGUUGCUUAGUACUAUGUAAGCUUUUCUCUUAACGCUGUAAAAUAUAGGUUAUACUUCUGUAAAUAUUGACAAAGCAAUCUUCUUUUAUGGCUAAAACUGGCCACUUUUAUUAUGAAGUUUCCUAAAAAAAAAUAUAUUUGGAUUUUAUAACUUAUACAAAAGUUCUGCACUACUAUCCCUGGACUUUGGGUCUUCCCCAGAGUUCAAUUUGGCCGCACAUGUGUUUUAAUACUGGGAACAUUUACAAGAUGAAGCAUACACACCUAUCUCCUGCAAAAUCAAUAGUUUUUCUAAGAAAUUUUCAUAAACAUGUACAGAAAAUGCAAAAUAACAAAAAUAUCAAACUUGAAGAAAAAUUCAGAAUGGAAAGUCAUCUAAUCAAAAAAAUAACUUUUCAUAUUCCUGACUUCAUACAGACAUUUCCCAUAGGCAGAUCCAGGGGAGGGGGCCCUCCUUUUGUGAGAAAAAUUUGGUUGAUUAUAUAGGGAAUCACUGAAGCAUGCCUGCAGCAGCACCCCCCCCCUUAUGUCUGUCAGUGGGCUCCCCCUUAUUAGGAGUUCCUGGUCUGCCACUGUUUCCUUAUGUAGAAAAAGUGAGUUCCCUCAUUUUCUUGAUUAUCUAGAGAGAAAUGGUAUAGUGGUCAAGCAUUUACUUCCAAAAUUCUGAUUAGAAUUUUCACUGUCAUCUCUUUUUUAAUAAAUAGUUCCCAAACAUUUAAACUUACGUUUUACUUCUGUUAUUUUAUUUACACUUAAAUUGACAAUGUAUUAUUUUUUUUUCUUAUUUUUCUUCUUCCACACAUUUUGUCCAUCGUGUUUCUAAGAAUUGAAUGGACCAAUGUUGAUGGAACUAUAACUAUAAUGAGGACCCCCAUUUGAAGUUGUGCACCUUGCUAUGGAAUGGUAAAAGAUGGCCGCCGUUUCCAUGGAAACAGCAUAAAUGCGAAAAAAAUCAAAGUGUUCCAAACUGGAAGAAACUCCACAGGAAUGUUAACUGGCAUGUGCUGAUUUCAAGUUUGACUUUGGAAUUUUCAAAAUGGCUGCCGUUACCAUGGAAACAGCUAAAAUAUCAAAAAUUCUAACUCUUUCGUUAUAAGAUCCAACUGGAUGAAACUUUAUGAAAAUGUUCUCCAGUAUGCCAAGAUGUCAAGACAAUAUUUGGAUAGUUCAAAAUGGCCGCCGUUGUCAUGGAAACUGGGGCCAAGUUUUGCAUUGACCCUAUGGAAAAAUGCAUAAAAUCAGCAUUUUCUCAGAGAGUAGUGCACCAAAGUAAAUGAAACUGUAUUGAUAUAUAACAUGACAUGUGGCAAUGAGAUGUACGCUUUUAGAAUUUUGGAAUUAUCUACUGUAACCAUGGUUGCAGCACAAAUGUUCAAAAUUUCCAAAAAAAAUUAAAGUGCUGCAAACUGGAUGAAACUUUACAGGAAUAGUGACUGACAUGUGCGGAGUUGCAUUUUGAAGUUGGAAUUUCCAAAAUGGCCGCCGUAACCAUGGAAACAGCAAAAUUGUCCAAAAAAAUUUCAAAAUGCUUCAAACUUAAUGAAAUUUUGCAAAAAUGAUAGACAUUGCAAUGUAGAUGCACUCUUUGACUUUGGAAUUUUCAAAAUGGCUGCCGCUCGCCUGGCAAUGGGGGGACGAGGGUGCCAUCCGUUAUUGCUAGCAAUUACAAAUCUAGUUUAUUCUUUCUUCUUCUUCCGCCACUUAAAAAAUGAACUGUCCGCAGCGUUUCUCAAAACGUUGUAGAUGACUUAGAUUCAUAAAUGUAGACAAUAUUCUAGGUGAGCCAUCAAUUUUUCGUUUGUGCAUUGGGGUCUAUUAAGGGUAUUUGGGGGUAGAAGGAGGAAGGGGUUUACUAUAGAACCCUAUGGGAUUUUAUUUUCUAAAAUUUUCAAAUGAAUAUAACUUGAAAACUGUAAGUGAUAGAUACAUGCAGUCUUCAGAAUUGAUUAUAGGUCAAUAAAACAAAUCACAUGAAAUAUAGGGGGAGUCCCUGGGGAGUUCAUCCCCACCCCCUUCAAUUUGAGAAUAUGCUUAUAUUUUGUAAACGGUCCAGAAUCCCCACCCCUAAACAUAUAUAUUGUUGAAUGGACAAUAAAACAAAUCAAAUGAAAUUAAUGGGAUGUCCCAGGGGGCCAUCCCCCACCCCAGUCAAUUUGAGAAUGCUAUUAUCUUGUACGGUCCAGAUCCCCACCCCUAAACUACAUAUAUUCUUGUAGGGACAAUAAAACAAAUGAAAUGAAAUUAAAGGAAGUCCCUAGGGGGUCAUCCCCACCCCCUCUUGUUUGAAAACUUGUAAACGGUCAACAUCUGUUUGAAAACUUGUAAACGGUCAACAUCCCCACCCCUAAACCAUAUAUAUUCUUGUAGGGAACAAUAAAACAAAUGAAUGAAAUUAAAGGGAAGUUUGCUAGGGGGUCACCCCACCCCUCUUAUUGAAAACUUGUAAACGGUCAACAUCCCCACCCCUAUACCAUAUAUUUUCUUGUAGGGGACAAUAAAACAAAUGUAAUGAAAUAAAAGGGAAUUCUGUAGGGGGUCACCCCACCCCCUCUUGUUUGAAAACUUGUAAACAGUCAACAUCCCCACCCCUAAACCAUAUAUAUUCUUGUAGGGGACAAUAAAACAAAUGAAAUGAAAUAAGAGGGAAGUCCCUAGGGGGUCACCCCACCCCCUCUUGUUUGAAAACUUGUAAACGGUCCAGAUCCCCACCCCUAAACCAUAUAUAUUCUUGUAUGGGACAAUAAAGGUAAUCAAAUGAAAUUAAAGGGAAGUUCCUGGGGGUUGCCCCACCCUGUUCAAUUGGAGGAUGUGCUAUUAUCUUGUAAACGGUCCAGAUCCCCACCCUUAAACCAUAUUACAUUCUUGUAGGGGACAAUAAAACAAAUGAAAUGAAAUGUAGGUAAAUUGCCUUGUGGUCACCACCACCCCCUCCUGUUUGCAUACUUGUAAAUGGUGGAGAUCCCUACUCGUAAGCCAUAUAUAUUCUUGUAUGGGACAAAAAAUCAAAUCAAAUGAACAUGGGAUCACAUGAAUGGCGAGUUAUGGGAGCUUUGUUUGGGAGACUUCGUAACAGCAUCCUGUUACAAUUACUUCUUGUUCAACUAUAUACUUCUGUUAUUUUACUUACUCUUUUAAAUUGACGAUGUUAAUAUAAUUCAUUGAAACAAAAAUGUUUUUUUUUUUGCACACACAAUAGGCUAAACCUUAACAGGUCUGGAGUUAUGUAACCUGGAAAUUGUAUGGGAAAUGACUUUGUAAUAGUAAAAGGUUUACCCUUAUCCGUCCAUAGGUAUCCAGAAAUUGGUUUCUGUUCUCUAACUUUAGUUUAUCCUCAACCAAAUGUUGUGAAAUUUAUGCGCAAUAUGCUUUAUUACAGUUCUCUAGUUAUGUCACUGUAUAAUGUUAUUUGCAAAUUGGAGCAUUAUCUGUGUGCCAUUGGCAAAUUAUCCAUUUAUUUUUUUCAGUAAUUGCCCUUACCAUAUAAAAUAUAUGGAACUGAGGGAGAAAUUUUAAGCUUUUUUUCUAAUAUUAUAUCUUGAAGUGGAAAGCAUGGUUUUUAAGUUUACAUUUCAAAUUUGAUUUUCCUUAAAUUUAUUUACAGGGCCAAACUUCCUCCUGGUGUUUAUUUUCUUCAUUGUGAUACGUACUAUCAAGAUGAUAAAAAGAUUGAAUGCACUGAGUACCAAUGAGUGAAGAUGACCACAGUUUGAACAGAAAAAGAUACAAGCACUAUAUUCUUAGUAGUCUUAUAGUCUUUAUGUAUUUGGAUGUCAAAGUCAUUCUAAAGCAGGAUUUUCGAGGGUAGACAUAUUCAAAUUAUCUACAAGACAAAUUGAUAUCUUUUAGAUUGAUUGUUUUGAAUAUAACAGAUCCAGUUCAUAGGCGGAAUCAGGGUAUUUAAAAGAAGAGCGUAAUUGCAGGAAAAAUAGAAUAUAUAAGACAAUUGGCAUGAUGCAAAAAUGGAAGAAAAAAAUACAAAGAAAAUGAUCAUAGAGAGGCAUACAAUGCCCUUUACACCGAUUGGGAUCUCAACACCGCCCCCAACUAAGCCAAUGAAGUUUGUAUGAGAAAGAACUACAAUUAUAGUCUGCUUAUUGGGAUAUCAUCAUCAUUCAAAAUGUUUGGUUGCUGUCUGUGAAAGAUAAGAAAGCUGGUUUCCCAAAAUUGGGAUACUAUAUAUCUCUGUUAUACAUUGUAUUAACUUAUAAAAUUUAUACCAAAUUCAUAGGACUUAAUUUUCAAAAAGAUUCAUUAAAAGU